AACGCACGAGACCUGCGGACCUGCGGAAGGAUCAUUAUUGAUUAUAAGGCAGAAGUGGCUUUGCUGCUUCUGUUCUUUAUUCAUCCUAGAGAGAUACUUUGGUAUCUCUCUUUUUCUUAACAUCUGGAAUUAAAAUUGUCUGACUGGAUUUUUUAAUCUAUAUUAAAACUUUCAACAAUGGAUCUCU
rnacentral:misc_RNA from 1 species